GGAAGGACUGCUGUUAUAAUUAAACGACUCAGGUGCACGAAGCCUGCAAAGUUGGACACAGGUUGUUAGGCAUGGUUGCUACUCAUAAGGCACCUGUGAGGAGAGCUAACACCAGGAAACCUUGGCUUGCAAAAAAGUACCUGCUGGCAGAUGUAGUUGAUAUUCUUUCAGGAAAUAGUACCACCAGAGGUAAUUUUUUUCUUAAACUGUGCGUUUCAUCUGUAUCAGGGUUUCAAGUUAAUGCUUAUGGAACAGUCAAUUGGCAAAACAUGUAUUUUUAAACUCAGUAUUGUGUAAAAGCUAAGAUCAGGCCAGUAGAACUUGUCUAUGAAUGAUCAAAUUAAACUUGAUGUUUUUUAAUUGGCAUUCAAAUUUUGCGUAGAGUGCGGUUACUUCUUUCAAGAUUUUAGGGAAAAAGUGGAUGAAAUAUGUGGUAUAUAUGUCUUUUAAAUAGCUUUAGUGGUGGGAGGAAAUUUCUGAGGUUUUUUUUUUACUAUUCAGUCAGGGGACUCAGCAUUCAGGCUUUAUGCUAGGAGCUUGUGCAUGUGCUCAUAGCGUUAGGAGGCUGUAGUUUGACUGACAUAAAGGCAUUAAUAAUGGGACACUUGAAUUUCCCUUUGAAAGGAUAGUUUGCAAUUAUCUGGAUACAGGCCUCUGUAUUCAGCAAGAACCGUGAAAAAUAAUAGAAUAAACAGCUGUUCUUUCUGGAUUUCUUUCUCAACAUACAAGAAAACUUUUCAGUGCAGAAGGAAGUCCCAGGAAGUUAAACACUGCACGAAAUCACAGAAAACAGCAGUGGGUCAUUAAGUUUGGCUCCAAAGGAAGAAUUGAUUUAGCUUGAAUUUGUCAGUUCUGUGUUUGCGCCCAGUGGAGAUCUUAGAAGCUCUCCAUCCGUCUGUCAUGAGGUCUUUUCUAUAGUAUUUUAGAAACCUGUUUUUAAGAUAAAGAUUCACCUACAUUGCAAGCUCUAACCAACCCUAAAAAAUCUUCAUAAGAAAUAUAGAGGAGAAAGAAACUGAAAAACAGAGACAGACAGGAGCAGCAAGUAACAAUGCAGUGCAUCAGAAACACCGCAUAAGUGGUUGAAAUUCAGGAAGCACUGAAAAGUAAAAUGAGAAAUUGAAUGGUCAGGAUUCUGAAAAAUGAGAUAUGUUUAGCAGCAGGCAGUUACUUGGGUAAAUACAAGCCACUUAAUUAUGAGGUUAUAUUACUGAAUUUGAGGAAUAAUGGGGUCUUUGAGGAAUAAAAACCCCACAAACUUUCAAAAGAUAACUUUUAUACAACAUUUAAGAUAUAAAUAAGUGUUUGAAAUAGUUGAGCUACCUUGGAAGAACUAAGAAAAUUCGUAAUUCAGCAUAAAAUUUUAAUGGUGAUUAGAGAGUAAAAAAAAGGGCUGGUAGAAGAAGCCUUGAGUUUGCUUUAAAAAGGAUAUUUUGGAAUUUUCAAGGCUAUGGAAGUCUACUGGAUUACAAUUUUGGGGAAAGAAGAUAGAAAAUAAAAUCGACUAAAAUAUAUGCAAGGGUAAAGCUAAGUAAAAAUUACAAGGGGGGAAUGAUGUGAUGCAAACCGUUGCAUUGGAGGGAAGAGCUAGGAAUGCACUUAGUGGAAGUAAAUAAAUAAAGGCAGUGCCCUGUGAGUAUGUGCGAAAACAAACAGACAAACAAAAACAACUUUAAAAAUUCAGCAGAAAGGAAGAAUACAAGUAUAAGGAAAUGCAGUACUUCGUGCCUUCAUGCUGUAUGUCAAGGGUAGCUUCACAACGUGUUGGCUGUCAGUGUUCUCCUAUGGUUUGAAAAAGAGACUCUUCCAAGAGCUUGUCAGACCCAGACUUCUGUGGCCUCCAAGGCAGGAGUAGGGGACCAAUCUCUCAGAUGAGCCCUUGUUGUGUAGUCCCAAUCUCUGUAUACAAAUGUUGGAGAUUGCCUUUUAGCUGUUUGAGGUGUUUCUGGCAUUAGAUUCUGAAUGAGACUUAGUGGUUGCCAUUAUAUGUUUGUGAUGUGCUUGUAUGGCUCAUCUAGUUUAUCCCCCACUGCUUUCCUUAAGAGCUGCGGGCUACUGACCAGAUCCCUUUUAAUCUGGGAGGUGCUAUAGCAGGUGAAUGUGAUACCUAAUGUCACAUUAAAGGGUUUGAUUAAAAAAUGAGUUGUAUGACAAAAGUGUAUAGCCAUUUGGUCACAUGACAUGAAAAUAGUUUCUCCUUUGUAGAUAGAUGAAUUGCAUGCGGAAUUAAAGCAGGAAUGUCCGACCUUUUGACUUACCUGGGCUGCAUUGAAUGAAGAGGAAUGUCUUGGGCUGCAUAUGAAAUAUGUAAUGUAGUUAAUGUAUGUAACUAACAAAACUUUUUUUAAAAUUAAAACAUAAAAAAGGCAACAAAAACAUAAAACUAGCGGGUUGGACACGUAUGACUGAUCAAACUGAAUCUUGAAAAGAAGUAACUAAUAAAUAAAGGAAAUAAAUUUCAAAAUGUCUUUCUUUAUUGGAUAAAUAUAUGUAAAAAGUAAUUGUGCCUCAUGAAGUUAUUCUUUUGUUUAUAAGGUUGCUUACUGAACAGGAGGAGAUGAAGAGAAGGGAUGGGAGAAGUCCUUAGGUUUCACCUAAGGAGCAGAAAGAAGGCAGAGCUAUGAUGGUAUUCCAAGACUGAUUAAAUGCAGCUUCUGAAGACAGAGGAGUUGGAGAUGUAGUGUGUCAUGAACAAGAUUCAAGCCAAUGACUUAAACAGAUCAGUAAGAAAAAUUUCCUAAUUAGCACUCUUUGUACUUGAGAAAUCUAAUCUUAGUCAUUUCUAGCUAAUCCAUUUUCUUAACUCUUUAGUAGUCAUUUCAUUCUCUUUUUACAAAUUUUGCUUGGAAUUCCUUUUGUUAGGAAUUUCUUAAAUAGGAAAGACUAGUAAAAUUUACAACACUGAUAAAAUGCGUAUUCAAGACAAUAUAUGGUUGACAAUUUAGAUAAAUUUGUUUUUUUAGGAUUGAGUAAAAUUAGUCAUGGACUACUAAAACUACACUGAAGAACAUGAUUUAGAUAAUUAUUGCUUACAAAUCAGUUUGCCAGUAGAAAGUGGUAAGACAGAAGAGUGGCCCCCUUUUAGAAGUUGGUUGGGUGAAUGGCCAAAAAUGGGAAAUCAACAGAGGUCAAGGAGGCAGGAAUACAUCAGCAGUUCUCCUCUGGAAAUGGCUUUAGAGCUCUUCCUUUUGAGGAUACAUCCCUCCUACAAUCAUGGAGGUAAGUGAUGCUUCUCAUCCAUAUAGCUACUUGUACUCUACUGUCCAGAAUUCCAGGUCAUGCUUUAGAGUUGAGCCUUAUUCCAAAUACAUAUAUGCAUAUGGAUGUGUUUUUACAUUAACAGACAUUAUGGAGGUAUACAGUUUCAAGAACUCCC